rnacentral:rRNA from 1 species
CCCUUAGAUGUCCUGGGCCGCACGCGCGCUACAAUGAUGAAUGCAACGAGCUCUACCCUUGACCGAAAGGCCCGGGUAAACUUGUGAAACUUCAUCGUGAUGGGGAUAGAUUAUUGCAAUUAUUAAUCUUCAACGAGGAAUUCCUAGUAAGCGCGAGUCAUCAGCUCGCGUUGAUUACGUCCCUGCCCUUUGUACACACCGCCCGUCGCUCCUACCGAUUGAAUGGUCCGGUGAAAUCUUCGGAUUGCUGACCAAGAUCCAGCAAUGGAGCUUGGUUGCGAGAAGUUGAUUAAACCUUAUUAUUUAGAGGAAGGAGAAGUCGUAACA